GAGCGAAAGAUAAGGAGCUUGCUCCUUUGACGUUAGCGGCGGACGGGUGAGUAACACGUGGGUAACCUACCUAUAAGACUGGAAUAACUCCGGGAAACCGGGGCUAAUGCCGGAUAACAUAUAGAACCGCAUGGUUCUAUAGUGAAAGAUGGUUUUGCUAUCACUUAUAGAUGGACCCGCGCCGUAUUAGCUAGUUGGUAAGGUAAUGGCUUACCAAGGCGACGAUACGUAGCCGACCUGAGAGGGUGAUCGGCCACACUGGAACUGAGACACGGUCCAGACUCCUACGGGAGGCAGCAGUAGGGAAUCUUCCGCAAUGGGCGAAAGCCUGACGGAGCAACGCCGCGUGAGUGAUGAAGGGUUUCGGCUCGUAAAACUCUGUUAUUAGGGAAGAACAUAUGUGUAAGUAACUGUGCACAUCUUGACGGUACCUAAUCAGAAAGCCACGGCUAACUACGUGCCAGCAGCCGCGGUAAUACGUAGGUGGCAAGCGUUAUCCGGAAUUAUUGGGCGUAAAGCGCGCGUAGGCGGUUUCUUAAGUCUGAUGUGAAAGCCCACGGCUCAACCGUGGAGGGUCAUUGGAAACUGGGAAACUUGAGUGCAGAAGAGGAAAGUGGAAUUCCAUGUGUAGCGGUGAAAUGCGCAGAGAUAUGGAGGAACACCAGUGGCGAAGGCGACUUUCUGGUCUGUAACUGACGCUGAUGUGCGAAAGCGUGGGGAUCAAACAGGAUUAGAUACCCUGGUAGUCCACGCCGUAAACGAUGAGUGCUAAGUGUUAGGGGGUUUCCGCCCCUUAGUGCUGCAGCUAACGCAUUAAGCACUCCGCCUGGG
rnacentral:rRNA from 1 species